UACAGAGGGUGCGAGCGUUAAUCGGAUUUACUGGGCGUAAAGCGUGUGUAGGUGGCUACCUAAGUCGAUUGUGAAAUCCCUGGGCUUAACCUGGGAAUUGCAGUCGAUACUGGGCAGCUAGAGUUCGGUAGAGGGUGACGGAAUUCCCGGUGUAGCAGUGAAAUGCGUAGAUAUCGGGAGGAACAUCGAUGGCGAAGGCAAUCACCUGGGCCUGGACUGACACUGUGACACGAAAGCGUGGGUAGCAAACAGG
rnacentral:rRNA from 1 species